rnacentral:rRNA from 1 species
GGCGAGUGAAGCGGGAAGAGCUCAAAUUUGAAAGCUGGUACCUUUGGUGCCCGCGUUGUAAUCUCGAGACGCGUUUUCCGCGCGGCGCUAUGGACAAGUUCCUUGGAACAGGACAUCGUAGAGGGUGAAAAUCCCGUACUUGCCAUGGAUGCACCGUGCUUUGUGAUACGUGCUCAAAGAGUCGAGUUGUUUGGGAUUGCAGCUCAAAAUGGGUGGUAGACUCCAUCUAAAGCUAAAUAUCGGGGAGAGACCGAUAGCGAACAAGUACCGUGAGGGAAAGAUGAAAAGCACUUUGGAAAGAGAGUUAAAAGUACGUGAAAUUGUCGAAAGGGAAGCGCUUGAAGUCAGCCAUGCCGCUCAGGACUCAGCCUGGCUUUUGCUUGGUGUACUUCCUGGGUAGCAAGUCAGCAUUGGUUUGGACCGUCGGAGAAGCAUGGCAGGAAUGUGACGCCCUCGGGCGUGUUAUAGCCUGCCAUUGGAUACGCCGGUCUAGACCAAGGAACGCAGUGCGCCUUACGGCGGGUCUUCGGACACCUUCGCACUUAGGAUGCUGGCGUAAUGGCUUUAAGCGGC